UACGUAGGGGGCAAGCGUUGUUCGGAAUUACUGGGCGUAAAGGGCGCGUAGGCGGCCUGCUAAGUCGGACGUGAAAUCCCCCGGCUCAACCGGGGAACUGCGUCCGAUACUGGUGGGCUCGAAUCCGGGAGAGGGAUGUGGAAUUCCAGGUGUAGCGGUGAAAUGCGUAGAUAUCUGGAGGAACACCGGUGGCGAAGGCGGCAUCCUGGACCGGUAUUGACGCUGAGGCGCGAAAGCCAGGGGAGCAAACGGG
rnacentral:rRNA from 1 species